rnacentral:rRNA from 1 species
UACGAGGGGGGCAAGCGUUGUUCGGAAUUAUUGGGCGUAAAGGGCGCGUAGGCGGUGCGGUAAGUCACCUGUGAAACCUCUAGGCUCAACCUAGAGCCUGCAGGCGAAACUGCCGUGCUUGAGGGUGGGAGAGGUGCGUGGAAUUCCUGGUGUAGCGGUGAAAUGCGCAGAUAUCAGGAAGAACACCUAUGGCGAAAGCAGCUCUCUGGGACGGUACUGACGCUGAGACGCGAAAGCGUGGGGAGCGAACAGG